UACGUAGGGUGCGAGCGUUAAUCGGAUUUACUGGGCGUAAAGCGUGCGCAGGCGGCCCGUUAAGACAGGUGUGAAAUCCCUGGGCUCAACCUGGGAACCGCAUUUCGAACUGGCAAACUAGAGUCUUGUAGAGGGGGGUAGAAUUCCAGGUGUAGCGGUGAAAUGCGUAGAGAUCUGGAGGAAUACCGAUGGCGAAGGCAGCCCCCUGGGCCUGUACUGACGCUCAUGCACGAAAGCGUGGGGAGCAAACAGG
rnacentral:rRNA from 1 species